GACGAACGCUGGCGGCGUGCCUAAUACAUGCAAGUAGAACGCACAGUUUAUACCGUAGCUUGCUACACCAUAGACUGUGAGUUGCGAACGGGUGAGUAACGCGUAGGUAACCUGCCUGGUAGCGGGGGAUAACUAUUGGAAACGAUAGCUAAUACCGCAUAAUAUUAAUUAUUGCAUGAUAAUUAAUUGAAAGGUGCAAUUGCACCACUACCAGAUGGACCUGCGUUGUAUUAGCUAGUAGGUGAGGUAACGGCUCACCUAGGCGACGAUACAUAGCCGACCUGAGAGGGUGAUCGGCCACACUGGGACUGAGACACGGCCCAGACUCCUACGGGAGGCAGCAGUAGGGAAUCUUCGGCAAUGGACGAAAGUCUGACCGAGCAACGCCGCGUGAGUAAAGAAGGUUUUCGGAUCGUAAAGCUCUGUUGUAAGAGAAGAACGGGUGUGAAAGUGGAAAGUUCACACUGUGACGGUAUCUUACCAGAAAGGGACGGCUAACUACGUG
rnacentral:rRNA from 1 species